GUCCACGCUGUAAACGAUGAGCACUAGGUGUCGCGGGUAUUGACCCCUGCGGUGCCGCAGCUAACGCAUUAAGUGCUCCGCCUGGGGACUACGGCCGCAAGGUUAAAACUCAAAGGAAUUGACGGGGGCCCGCACAAGCGGUGGAGCAUGUGGUUCAAUUCGACGCAACGCGAAGAACCUUACCUGGGCUAGACAACGGAGGAUCGCUCCAGAGAUGGGGUUUUCCCUUCGGGGACCUCCGGUUCAGGUGCUGCAUGGCUGUCGU
rnacentral:rRNA from 1 species